AUUGAACGCUGGCGGAAGGCCUAACACAUGCAAGUCGAGCGAGCGGCGGACGGGUGAGUAAUGCCUGGGAAACUGCCUGAUGGAGGGGGAUAACUACUGGAAACGGUAGCUAAUACCGCAAAACAUCAGAUGGGCCAAGAUGGGAUUAGCUAGUAGGUGGGGUAAUGGCUCACCUAGGCGACGAUCCCUAGCUGGUCUGAGAGGAUGACCAGCCACUCUGGAACUGUGUCCCGGUCCAGCCUCCUACGGGAGGCAGCAGUUGUGCAUAUUGCACAAUGGGCGCAGGCCUGAUGCAGCCUUGCCGCGUGUGUGAAUGAUGCCUUCGGGUUGUAAAGCACUUUCAGCGAUGGGGCGUUACUCGCAGAAGUAGCACCGUCUAACUCCGUGCCAGCAGCCGCGGUAAUUC
rnacentral:rRNA from 1 species